rnacentral:rRNA from 2 species
UUAAUUUGAGAGUUUGAUCCUGGCUCAGGACGAACGCUGGCGGCGUGCCUAAUACAUGCAAGUCGAACGAACUCUGGUAUUGAUUGGUGCUUGCAUCAUGAUUUACAUUUGAGUGAGUGGCGAACUGGUGAGUAACACGUGGGAAACCUGCCCAGAAGAGGGGGAUAACACCUGGAAACAGAUGCUAAUACCGCAUAACAACUUGGACCGCAUGGUCCGAGUUUGAAAGAUGGCUUCGGCUAUCACUUUUGGAUGGUCCCGCGGCGUAUUAGCUAGAUGGUGAGGUAACGGCUCACCAUGGCAAUGAUACGUAGCCGACCUGAGAGGGUAAUCGGCCACAUUGGGACUGAGACACGGCCCAAACUCCUACGGGAGGCAGCAGUAGGGAAUCUUCCACAAUGGACGAAAGUCUGAUGGAGCAACGCCGCGUGAGUGAAGAAGGGUUUCGGCUCGUAAAACUCUGUUGUUAAAGAAGAACAUAUCUGAGAGUAACUGUUCAGGUAUUGACGGUAUUUAACCAGAAAGCCACGGCUAACUACGUGCCAGCAGCCGCGGUAAUACGUAGGUGGCAAGCGUUGUCCGGAUUUAUUGGGCGUAAAGCGAGCGCAGGCGGUUUUUUAAGUCUGAUGUGAAAGCCUUCGGCUCAACCGAAGAAGUGCAUCGGAAACUGGGAAACUUGAGUGCAGAAGAGGACAGUGGAACUCCAUGUGUAGCGGUGAAAUGCGUAGAUAUAUGGAAGAACACCAGUGGCGAAGGCGGCUGUCUGGUCUGUAACUGACGCUGAGGCUCGAAAGUAUGGGUAGCAAACAGGAUUAGAUACCCUGGUAGUCCAUACCGUAAACGAUGAAUGCUAAGUGUUGGAGGGUUUCCGCCCUUCAGUGCUGCAGCUAACGCAUUAAGCAUUCCGCCUGGGGAGUACGGCCGCAAGGCUGAAACUCAAAGGAAUUGACGGGGGCCCGCACAAGCGGUGGAGCAUGUGGUUUAAUUCGAAGCUACGCGAAGAACCUUACCAGGUCUUGACAUACUAUGCAAAUCUAAGAGAUUAGACGUUCCCUUCGGGGACAUGGAUACAGGUGGUGCAUGGUUGUCGUCAGCUCGUGUCGUGAGAUGUUGGGUUAAGUCCCGCAACGAGCGCAACCCUUAUUAUCAGUUGCCAGCAUUAAGUUGGGCACUCUGGUGAGACUGCCGGUGACAAACCGGAGGAAGGUGGGGAUGACGUCAAAUCAUCAUGCCCCUUAUGACCUGGGCUACACACGUGCUACAAUGGAUGGUACAACGAGUUGCGAACUCGCGAGAGUAAGCUAAUCUCUUAAAGCCAUUCUCAGUUCGGAUUGUAGGCUGCAACUCGCCUACAUGAAGUCGGAAUCGCUAGUAAUCGCGGAUCAGCAUGCCGUGGUGAAUACGUUCCCGGGCCUUGUACACACCGCCCGUCACACCAUGAGAGUUUGUAACACCCAAAGUCGGUGGGGUAACCUUUUAGGAACCAGCCGCCUAAGGUGGGACAGAUGAUUAGGGUGAAGUCGUAACAAGGUAGCCGUAGGAGAACCUGCGGCUGGAUCACCUCCUUUCUAAGGAA